GCUAACGGUUCAAAUUGGUUGCGUGCUUAUGGUUUCUAAUAGAAAUUAUGGAUAUUUAACUCUUUACUUCUUUUAGUGCAACCUUGAAAUACUAGGCAAUACAUUAUGAAGCAAAAGCCAUAGCAUCUCUACUAAUGCAAUGUACACACCAAAUGGUAGAUUCUCACCAAGCCAAGUAGUUAAACAAACACAACAAACCGAAAAAAUAGUAUAGGCCUUAAAAGAAAUGACCCUAUUCAGGCUAUUGAGUUUCUUUACCUUGGAGGUAUGAACUCGUACCCGGAUUUCCCAAGGCCGCGCCGCAACCCAACGCUCCGUCCAGCUCCAACCCCAGCUUUCCUUACCGAGACUAUACGAAGCCUGACCGAAAUAUUGGCUACAGUUUGGCCUCCACUGCAAUAAUUAAGGCAUGCUUUUAGAAAUGUGAUGGAAUUCUUUAUAACAAUUGGUAUGUGAUGUGGUGCAAGUAGAUCAAGGUUUGUACCUGAUGGGAGAAGGCAUAUGCCAUGGCUCGCUCUCGUUUAAUUGCGGCUUCUUCUCUCUGAUAUAACCUUGAAAUUAUCUCUUCCAUUGUUUCUGAACCGCCGCACCAUUCCACCUAGCAUGCAUUUUACCAAACAGCAUUAUAAGAAACAGACAGAAACCAAGUGAUUGCGAGAAGAUGGUUGAAACAAUGUGUACCUCUAGCUGAUGAAUCUUAGCUUCGAGUUUUAGCUGGCUUUCCAAUCUCCUUUGCUUAACACGAGCUUCUGUUAUCAUACAGAUUCUGCGAGCUUUAAUCUCGUCUUGUAUUCUGCUCCAUGAAUGUAUAUAGCUUAAUGCAGUUGCUGUUUGCUCUC